AUUGAACGCUGGCGGCAGGCCUAACACAUGCAAGUCGAGCGGUAGAGAGGUGCUUGCAUCUCUUGAGAGCGGCGGACGGGUGAGUAAUGCCUAGGAAUCUGCCCUAGUGGUGGGGGAUAACGUUCGGAAACGGACGCUAAUACCGCAUACGUCCUACGGGAGAAAGCGGGGGAUCUUCGGACCUCGCGCCAUUAGAUGAGCCUAGGUCGGAUUAGCUAGUUGGUGAGGUAAUGGCUCACCAAGGCGACGAUCCGUAACUGGUCUGAGAGGAUGAUCAGUCACACUGGAACUGAGACACGGUCCAGACUCCUACGGGAGCAGCAGUGGGGAAUAUUGGACAAUGGGCGAAAGCC
rnacentral:rRNA from 1 species